GGAUGUGAGGGCGAUCUGGCUGCAACGUCUGUCACCCCAUUGAUCGUCAGGGUUGAUUCGGCUGAUCUGGCUGGCUAGGUGGGUGUCCACUUCCUCCCUCAGCACUCCAUGUGCGUCCCUCCGGAGGCUGAAGAGGAUGACCAUCCCCGACAGAGGAGGACCGAUCUUCGGUCAAGGGCAUAUGAGUAGCUGUGCUCCCUUGCUAGAACCUCCAAACAAGCUCUCAGGUUAUGCCACUGGAAGUAUAUUAACACAUCUUUGCUCCCUGAAAAUGCCCAUGCUUC
rnacentral:snRNA from 10 species